AGCGAACGCUGGCGGCAGGCCUAACACAUGCAAGUAGAACGGUCCUUUCGGAGCUUGUGGCGGACGGGUGGGUACCACGUGGGAACGUGCCCUUAGGUUAGGAAUAUCUCCUGGAAACGGGUGGUAAUGCAGAAUGUGCUCUUCGGGCGAAAGAUUUUACGCUUUUGGAGCUGCCCGCGUAUGAUUAGAUAGUUGGUCUAGGUAACGGCUCACCAAGGCAUCGGUCAGUAGCUGGUCUGAGAGGAUGGCCAGCCACCUUGGGACUGAGAAACGGCGCAAAUCUCUACGGGAGGCAGCAGUGGGGAAUCUUGCGCAAUGGGCGAGAGCCUGACGCUGCCAUGCCGCGUGAAUGUGGAAUGUCUUAGGAUUGUAAAAGUCUUUCACCAGGGACGAUAAUGACGGUACCCGGAGAAGAAGCCCCGGCUAACUACGUG
rnacentral:rRNA from 1 species